rnacentral:rRNA from 1 species
UACGUAGGGUGCGAGCGUUAAUCGGAAUUACUGGGCGUAAAGGGUGUGUAGGCGGUUCUCUAAGUUUGGUGUGAAAUCUCCCGGCUCAACUGGGAGGGUGGGCCGAAAACUGGGGGGCUAGAGUACUGGAUGGGAGAGUGGAAUUCCUGGUGUAGCGGUGAAAUGCGUAGAUAUCAGGAGGAACACCUGUGGUGUAGACGGCUCUCUGGACAGUAACUGACGCUGAGACACGAAAGCGUGGGUAGCAAACAGG